CCUCCCCGACCGCAUCGCCCCAAGCCCCCUCCCUGACCGCAUCGACCUCCGCCUUGAAGAUCUUCUCUGCUCCGGCGAUGACGACGGCGGUCCGUUGAGCAAGAUCCAGAAGCUUGCUACAGAUCAACGAACGGGGAUCAAGAAACGUGAGGAGUGACCUUUUCCAUAAUCAGAUCACGAUGAUAGAUGGUUCAUAUUUGCUAUGAACUUCAGAAGACAUUUAUGACAUUCUCUAGGUCGACAUUUAGUUCAGAGGCUGUGGUGAAGAAGCAGAAACCAAAUUCUAAGAAGAGGAAGCAAAAGGUGAUCUCCCAUUCCUCUUUAUUUGUGGGUAUUGUUCAGAUAGAUAGGUAGUAACUUGGGUUAGUUUCUUGCCUUGAUCUGUAUUCUCUAAAGAUUUUUUUCUUCUUUUUUAGUGAGUUUUCUUUUUCUAGUAUUGUGGUAGUUCUAUCUUCUCAGCUAGUUGUCUAUCUUCUCAUGUUACAAGAACACCAUCUGAUCUUAUAUCAUCUGUGCCAAGAGGUAUGACAUAUAGUAUUUGCUAAAUCUUGUUCAAGUAUGAUAUAUGGUAAUCUAGUUUCAGUUAACAAUAGCUAUUUGGGACUGCUAAGAAACUGCCUAGUGCCCAUUUGGGUUCUUUGAACAAACAUUUGCUGAUUAAUCUGUGAAUUGAAUCUAUUCUAAAUUUUCAGCAGAAACUGUUUUAAACUGUUGCUUAUUUUACCAGUCGAUGUGCCUGAAAAUAUUCUAAACUGUAUUAGUUGCUUAUUUUACAGCAUACCGGUGCAGUUUAUUUGCAACAAAUAUUAUUAAAGGUUGCGACUAAUUGCAGUAUGAUGCUGCACUUGGAUAUAGUAGCUGUUGGCAAUUGCUGAAUUCUUUACACUCUGAACUCCAUGUAUGCUAACACUUUACCAUAAACUUGCUUGCCUAAUUUAUUGUCUCUAGAUCUCAUAGUUGAAAUGAAGAAUUUGUAGCUAGUUGACUGUAUACAAUAUACAAUAUACUGAUACAGUUAUAUCUUGUUCAAGAAUCAUACGUUAGUUGUUUGAAUAAAUUUUAUUGGGACUCAAAUAAGACCACAUAUACUUUUUGUUUUCAAGAGUGAGGUAAUACUUAUCUAAACAAAAUCUUGUUCAUGUUUACUUUCUCGAUGCUCCCUGGCGAAGCCUCUCGGCGAGUAGGAGCACAGCGGCUGGCGACGCGUUUCGGCGAGGAGCACGGCGCCCAGCGAUGCUCUCGACGACCAACAACACGACAAACGGCAAAUGCUCUCGACGAGUAGGAGCACCGUGACGGGUGACGCGCUCGGCAAGCAGGAGCGGCGGCGGCCGCCGAAGCUUUCGGCUUACUUUUUGGAGCCACAGUAUAUGAAUUUCUGAAUUUGUUAAGUGAUAGUUACAGUAUAUGAAUUUCUGAAUUUGCUAUUCUAGGAUCAAGAAAAGGCAUUAUAAAUAUGUAGCAGUCUAAUGUUUGCAUUUGCUAAUUUGUUCGGAAACAUGAGUACACCAACUAAUGUUUGCAUUUGCUUUUCUAUUCCAAACAGUAGUACCAAUGGAAGCUAUCA